AUGAACGCUAGCUACAGGGCUUAACACAUGCAAGUCGAGGGGCAGCGGGAAGUCAGCUUGCUGACUUGCCGGCGACCGGCGCACGGGUGAGUAACGCGUAUCCAACCUUCCCCUUAGUAGGGCAUAGCCCGUAGAAAUGCGGAUUAAUACCCUAUGUUGUUCGAUGCGGACAUCUAAGUUGAACCAAAGGUUUACCGCUAAGGGAUGGGGAUGCGUCCGAUUAGGCAGCAGGCGGGGUAACGGCCCACCUGGGCCGACGAUCGGUAGGGGUUCUGAGAGGAAGGUCCCCCCACAUUGGAACUGAGACACGGUCCAAACUCCUACGGGAGGCAGCAGUGAGGAAUAUUGGUCAAUGGGGCGAGAGCCUGAACCAGCCAAGUAGCGUGCAGGAUGACGGCCCUAUGGGUUGUAAACUGCUUUUAUGCGGGGAUAAAGUGAGGGACGUGUCCCUUAUUGUAGGUACCGCAUGAAUAAGGACCGGCUAAUUCCGUGCCAGCAGCCGC
rnacentral:rRNA from 1 species